GCAGCAGUAGGGAAUCUUCCGCAAUGGGCGAAAGCCUGACGGAGCAACGCCGCGUGAGUGAUGAAGGUCUUCGGAUCGUAAAACUCUGUUAUUAGGGAAGAACAUACGUGUAAGUAACUAUGCACGUCUUGACGGUACCUAAUCAGAAAGCCACGGCUAACUACGUGCCAGCAGCCGCGGUAAUACGUAGGUGGCAAGCGUUAUCCGGAAUUAUUGGGCGUAAAGCGCGCGUAGGCGGUUUUUUAAGUCUGAUGUGAGAGCCCACGGCUCAACCGUGGAGGGUCAUUGGAAACUGUAAAACUUGAGUGCAGAAGAGGAAAGUGGAAUUCCAUGUGUAGCGGUGAAAUGCGCAGAGAUAUGGAGGAACACCAGUGGCGAAGGCGACUUUCUGGUCUGUAACCGACGCUGAUGUACGAAAGCGUGGGGAUCAAACAGGAUUAGAUACCCUGGUAGUCCACGCCGUAAACGAUGAGUGCUAAGUGUUAGGGGGUUUCCGCCCCUUAGUGCUGCAGCUAACGCAUUAAGCACUCCGCCUGGGGAGUACGACCGCAAGGUUGAAACUCAAAGGAAUUGACGG
rnacentral:rRNA from 1 species